GCGGGGCGAGGCGCCAAGAGAUCUGUAACCGACCGCGACCCUGCCCCUGCAGCGGCUUGUGCAGAGGUCUGGCGGGGCGUAGCGGCCCGGCCAGUGCGUGGCUGCAGCCGGGAGCCUGAGGCCGGGCCCUCGAGCAUAGGUGCUGACCCGGCUGGGCCGUGAGUUGGCCGUCGCCUCGGUGGCAAGGCCUCCCCGAUGCCGGUUGGGGCUUUGCGGAACAGAACGGAGGCUGGGCCCGGGCCGCGGGCAGGGUAAGAGGCUGACGGGCCCGCUCGCUCGCACCGGGUGGAUGCGGCGGCGGCGAUGGACGCUCUAGAGGAAGAGAGCUUCGCGCUGCCUUUCUCUUCCGCCUCUGAUGCAGAAUUUGAUGCUGUGGUUGGAUAUUUAGAGGACAUUAUCAUGGAUGAUGAGUUCCAGUUAUUACAGAGAAAUUUCAUGGACAAGUACUACCAGGAGUUUGAAGACACAGAAGAAAAUAAACUCACCUACACGCCUAUUUUUAACGAGUAUAUUUCUCUGGUAGAAAAGUACAUUGAAGAACAGCUGCUGGAGCGGAUUCCUGGGUUUAACAUGGCGGCUUUCACAGCAACUUUACAGCACCAUAAAGAUGAAGUGGCUGGUGACAUAUUCGACAUGCUUCUCACGUUUACGGAUUUUCUGGCUUUUAAAGAAAUGUUUCUGGACUACAGAGCAGAAAAAGAAGGCCGGGGACUGGACUUAAGCAGUGGUUUAGUGGUGACUUCGUUGUGCAAAUCAUCCUCUGUGUCAGCUUCCCACAACAACCUGCAGCACUAGGCCCUCCUCCGGACAGUGAGCUUGUUCUGGACUGUGGCAGCCCAGGAUCCUGGGAGAGCCUUCAGCUAAUGAUGAAACACAUCUUGGAAAGACUGGCUCUGUUCUGCAAUCUUCAUUAACCUGCUGUCCUGCUUUAGCAGCGUUCAUCUUUCAAGCGAUAGGCCCUGGGCUUGCUUUCCCCUUACUCUUUUUAUCAGUGGGCUGCCCGCUUCAGGCUGGUGAUGUCGGAAGCACUUGGUGAAGACCUGAUGUCAGUCCGCCGCCUGGCUGAGCUGAGGCAGGUGGACAAGUCCAGAGACAACGUUAUGAAAAAAGGAGAAGAAAGGCAAGCGGUUCUUUUCAUCCUUUACCAUUCAGAGAAAGAAGCAAGCAAGCUUAUUGUAGUUUAAUAUUAGAAGAUGGUCUUUCUGAUUUCUUUUCAAACAAACUAGAAAUCUCUCUCCAUCCACACAGGAACUUAAGUCAUCAUGUGCCACGUGGGCCUCAGGCCUGGCCUGAGGUGGGAAAGCCCGACAUUCUGCCCCUGCCUCAGGACAGCUGCAGUCUCCUAUUGUCCAGCCCUCCUCACCCAGGGGAAGCAGUAUUCACCCCGACUGCGGGGGCUAAGGAUUGGGGAGGCAUGGGCACGAACCAAAGGUGGUGGUUUGACUAAACAAAAGAACGUCUCCACUCAAAUAGGCUGUGUAUUAAGGUGUCAGAAACCUAUAAGACUUGCCUAGCAUUUUGUUUUCUCUUACGCCUCAAAAGAAAAUGGGUUUACCCUUAAAACUAAAUUCUGUCAUGGCUUAAUCCUGGAAUAACUAAUUUAUUAUUCAAACCUGAGACACUUGAGAGUACAUAGGGAUGCUGUUCAUAUUUAUACCAGAAUAAUAGACAUAAACUGGGCCUGUCCCAGGCUAAGUUAAUCCCCCAUUCCUUGAUAAUGGAGUAGCUUAUUCGCAACUUUUUGAAUUAAGUUGCAUUUUAAUUGUUCCCAGUUUUUCAAAAAAGGACCAAGGUUGCCCAGAAAGCCUUUGGCUCAUUAUUCAGAGUAUGUUGCUCUGUGGU